rnacentral:misc_RNA from 1 species
CUGAUCAUUUGAAAUGUAUUGGUGUCGUCUAGCUGACAGUCGCCGCGUAAGCAUUGUUAAUCAUCUUUAUUGAUGUUCCUUGCUAUACUACGUGGACCAACGACAAUAAGCAUCCAUUAGCACGAUCCAAGCACAAACUCCAAAUACUUGUAUUUAACCAUCUUGAUCUCAGAUCAGGCAGGAUGACCCGCUGAACUUAA